UACCGAAGCUAAUGCCGGAUAACAUGUAGAACCGCAUGGUUCUACAGUGAAAGAUGGCCUUGCUAUCACUUAUAGAUGGACCCGCGCCGUAUUAGCUAGUUGGUAAGGUAACGGCUUACCAAGGCAACGAUACGUAGCCGACCUGAGAGGGUGAUCGGCCACACUGGAACUGAGACACGGUCCAGACUCCUACGGGAGGCAGCAGUAGGGAAUCUUCCGCAAUGGGCGAAAGCCUGACGGAGCAACGCCGCGUGAGUGAUGAAGGUCUUCGGAUCGUAAAGCUCUGUUAUUAGGGAAGAACAAGUGCGUAAGUAACUGUGCGCACCUUGACGGUACCUAAUCAGAAAAGCCACGGGUUGACUGCGGGGCCAGCAGCCGCGGUAAUACGUAGGUGGGCAAGCGUUAUCCGGGAAUUUAUUGGGGCGUAAAGCGCGCGUAGGCGGUUUCUUAAGUCUGAUGUGAAGCCCACGGCUCAACCCGUGGAGGGUCAUUGGAAACUGGGAGACUUGAGUGCAGAAGAGGAAAGUGGAAUUCCAUGUGUAGCGGUGAAAUGCGCAGAGAUAUGGAGGAACACCAGUGGCGAAGGCGACUUUCUGGUCUGUAACUGACGCUGAUGUGCGAAAGCGUGGGGAUCAAACAGGAUUAGAUACCCUGGUAGUCCACGCCGUAAACGAUGAGUGCUAAGUGUUAGGGGGUUUCCGCCCCUUAGUGCUGCAGCUAACGCAUUAAGCACUCCGCCUGGGGAGUACGACCGCAAGGUUGAAACUCAAAGGAAUUGACGGGGACCCGCACAAGCGGUGGAGCAUGUGGUUUAAUUCGAAGCAACGCGAAGAACCUUACCAAAUCUUGACAUCCUUUGACCACUCUGGAGACAGAGCUUUCCCCUUCGGGGGACAAAGUGACAGGUGGUGCAUGGUUGUCGUCAGCUCGUGUCGUGAGAUGUUGGGUUAAGUCCCGCAACGAGCGCAACCCUUAAGCUUAGUUGCCAUCAUUAAGUUGGGCACUCUAAGUUGACUGCCGGUGACAAACCGGAGGAAGGUGGGGAUGACGUCAAAUCAUCAUGCCCCUUAUGAUUUGGGCUACACACGUGCUACAAUGGACAAUACAAAGGGCAGCUAAACCGCGAGGUCAUGCAAAUCCCAUAAAGUUGUUCUCAGUUCGGAUUGUAGUCUGCAACUCGACUACAUGAAGCUGGAAUCGCUAGUAAUCGUAGAU
rnacentral:rRNA from 1 species